GCCGGCAGCUAGCUCUCUGCAACUCUCACAUGGUCAUCCACUGAAGCUAAGAAGGGCUGCGCCUGGUCAGUACCUGGAUGGGAGACCACAUGGAAAACCCAGGUUGCUGCCGAAA
rnacentral:rRNA from 1 species